AUUCUCCAGGCAAGAAUACUGGAGUGGGUGGCCAUGCCCUCCUCCAAGGGAUCUUCCCCACGCAGGGAAGUCUUAAGUCGACUGCAUUGGCAGGCGGGUUCUUUGCCACUAGCGCUACCUGGGAAGAAAGCUUGUAAGGUAGGGGGUGUUCUAGAGGAAGAAGCUGAGGCUCAGAGAUGUGAAGUGACCUGCCUGAGGUCACACGGCAAGUCUGUGGAAAGUUGGGGUUCAAACCCCACAGCAUAGACUCUUGUUCACAUCCUGUCCCCUCCUUCCUCCCUGACCUGCUGGCCCAAUGUCUGAACAGAGGGGAAUGGGGGGUGUCCCCAGUCUGAUUCAGGCCUGCCCUCUCAUGCAUGGAGCCCCAUCUGGAUGCCUGGCAUGGCAAGAUUCGGGGAAGAAGAGGGACAGAGGGGACACCCUGGAUGUGACCUUGCAGUGGGGACAUCCACCUCCCUAAAGCCAGGCCCCAGAGCCUGGCAGCACACGGAGGUUUCGAGAAGAGGCUGUGUCCAGGGCAGGACCCAGGCCCUUCUGAGCCGGGUCAGUGAGCCAGACAUGUCACCAGGGCCUGAAGAGCAGGAGCAGGGGUCUGGCUGGGUGACAGGCCAGGGAAGCCAUCGCUGCGUGAAAGGCCCCUGGUGGUGGUUGUUUAGUCGCUAAGUCGUGUCUGACUCUUUGCGACCCUGUGGACCAAAGCCCACCAGGCUCCUCUGUCCAUGGGAUUUCCCAGGCAGGAAUACUGGAGCAAGUUGCCAUUUCCUUCUCCAGGGGAUCUUCCUGAACCAGGGAUCAAACCCAUGUCUCCUGCACUGGCAGGUGGAGCCUUUACCCCUGAGCCACCAGGGAAGCCCGAAGGCCACUGGGUGUGACCACAGACAGGAUGCCAAGGAGCACUGACACAGUGCUUUUCUGACCUCAGGUAACUGAGUCUCACAACGGCCCUUUCAGGUCAUAAUAAAAUCAUCCCUGUUUUACAGAUGAGGACACAGAGGAUCUGAAAAACAGCCACAAAGAGAGGAAGAGGGAAGCGGGUUCUGGCAUUAAGCCCCACACUUGGGGCCAGGCUGCCCCCAGACAUUCUACCUUCACAUAUCUCUGAAGCUCACCAGGGGCAUCGCAGCCCCCAGGGCUAUCCAGCCUCUGGAGGGAGCAUGCCCUAGGUACAAAUCCUACCAUAGGUACUCUAAGUGACCCAGAACCAGUCCAUCCCCAAAGAGGGCAACGCCAGAACCAGGGAUGGAAUUCAAGGAGACCACAGUGUGGGCACUUGGGAGAGGGGCGGGGCAGAGCAGGCUCAGCGCUGGGGGCGCAGCCCGUGGCCUGGCUGUGCCCAGGGCUACCACUGCAGCCACCUCUGCACCAACGCUAGGUAGCCCAGGUCCCCAGGUCUACCAGCAGGCCCGCCAGGCAAGGGGACAGAGACUGCAGCCACCCUCCAGGCCAGGUCCCUCACAUCCAGGGUGAGGACCCGUCCCCUAUCAGAGGAAAACCUCCUGACCCCUCUGCAGGGCGAGUGAAGAGGCAAGCAGGUGGGGCCACGGAGCACAGCCAGUCCGGGCCUGACCCCAGGACCCAGCUCCGUCCUAGCACCAGCUCCCUGGGUGCCUUGGCCGGGUUUCUUCUCCCUGGGAGCUGAGGGAGCUGAGCUCAAAGGGCUCUCCAGCCUCGUUAAAACCACGUAGAGGAGCAGUGCAGGUGUUAACGAUGUUACCAUCACUACAAUUACCGGCAGCCCUGUUACUGCAGGCAAACGGGCCCAAGGCUCAGCGCUAAGUAGUAGGUAGGUCUCACCACAGUUCAGGUGUACGUGGUAUACUUGAGGCCAGCAAGACCAGAAAAGGGCGAUCACUUUGCCUAAGUUCACGCAGUUUAGGAUGGAGCUCAGAGAAGCGGCGGGCGGGGGCAGAACACCGGCCUUCUGAUUCAAAAUCGAAGCUCUUAACUCCUACGCAGAGACUAAAACCACCACGGAUCCCUGAAUACGUCCUGUCUGGCUCCAGAACGCAGAUCCAGCGUUGGUUCCCACACCCUGCGGCGCUGCUGGGACCUCCUCCUUUAGAUCCUGCUCCCAUUUCCAUCCCCGCCUGGCCUCCAAGCAGCGACUUCGACCUCGCUCCGCAGCGCUGAGCUGCACCUGGGACUCCUCGUGCCCCGCGUGCCCUGCGCCAGGGUUUC